UGCAAAAUCCAACACCUGUACCAGCGCCAGACCCAGCUGGGAAUGCUAGGGAUGAUGAUCUGGGAAUCUCGGGUGCCUCGCCCCCCCAAAAGGCCCUGUUUGCAUCUGUAGCCACGUGUGGCUGUGAGGUCCGCUCCACCCAAUGCAGCGACAGGCUAAAUUAAAGGGCCGCAUUGCUGGAUCAUCUCCGUGUUCCUGGUGGGAGCCGUUGUGGUUAUGGCAUUAAAAAACCGUGGGUUUGGUGGGGGCGGGAGGUUCGACAGUCAGGACUUCCUUUUUAGCAGAGGCGCAUGAGAUGCGGCCACCGCAUGCGGCGAAAACCGAAGGUCUGCAGCAUGAAAGGGAGCCAGUGGAACUUUGUGAUGGGGGCCAGAGUGACACCCCCACCUAGCCGGAGGAAAUGGAAAAACAGCAGCAGAUGCACAACCGGCCUGGCCUCCCCCCCCCUCCCGGCCUGACUGCCAGACAGCUGACGCUCCUCUGUGCGGGGGGUCUGAAGGCCGAGGCACAGUGGGCACUGGUACGGUACCGCAGGGAAGUUUCACCCGACAGAGGCAAAUGGAGCUCAGAAUGUCCACCGGCGACCUGGGGCAGAACAGCGGGAUGUAAUGGAACUCACGUUCACGACAAGGGCGGGAGGUUGGCGGUGGCCAAGACAAGGCAUGUGCACAGGCAGCUUCCUGGAUGCCUCUAGACCCCACGUAGGCAGCCUCAGGCCUGGAGGGCUGGUGCAGACCGCAAUGACUGUAUUCCCCAGCCAGCCUGUUUUCCCAUCCUGCACCUCGGGAGGUAAGAGGGGGUGGGGGCUCAAAUGGCAGAGGUGAGUCAAGGGGACAGAAAGCUGAGUACAUCCCUUCUACAGUAAAAGGAGCACUAAUAUAACCCUGUUUGAGUCAGUAUCCAGUGAUAAGCGGCAGUGAUACAGGGGAACCGUGCAAAGUCAACCUAGGGGUGGGAUUCAAAUCCAUCAAAGCAUCCUGGUGCUCAAAUAACUGGACUGACAUCCUAAAUUACUGAUCUUACGUUAAAAUGCUGAUUUUAGCCAAAGCCAUUUACGGCUUUUGCCUUCACUACACAGCCAGGCGUGUGUCUCAUUCUAAACCCUCCUGAUUUUGGCUUCACUUAGAACAUGACGAAACCGAAUCAGCCCAAAUGCCGUCAAACCACACGCCAUCUAAGCGCAGAAAGUCAAAAAAGGAUCAGAACAAUUUAUGUUGUGACUGAAUUUUGCGAAUGCACCCCCCCCCAUC